ACUUAUGACCUUCACCAAUAAUCUUUAAUUCAUGUGACCUUUAAUUUGCACCUAAGGUCAAAGGUCACUGAGUGCAAAAAAAAUUUACGCUGCAAUUUCAAGCUUACAUAUUAAGAAAACGAUAAGAGUUUGCUGCAUACAUACUGUGUAUAAAAUGUUCCUCUCGACGAGCUCUACAUUUUAUACAUUACGCUCAAAACUGUCCGACCGUCUGUUCACAAGUUACGACGAGAUAAUUCUUAAAAGUAUAGUAUUGUGUGUAUAUCUUUUUAAAGGUAACAGAUAUCAACCUACUAUAAAUUGCAAAAAUGAUCAGUAUUUUAAAACCUUCAAUUUGAGGUCAAUGUCAGGUCAUGAUGAAAUUUUACCUUGACCUUCAAAGUGUAAUAUGACCUUGAUCUUGUGAUAUUUGAAAGGUCAAGUGGUCCUGAGUUGAAUGGUGGUAAUCCCAUGUCUCUACGACUUCCGGUUCUCAAGUUUGCUAUUGCAUCAUAUAUUUGAUGAUUCAUUAUGACCUUGAUGAACUUCGGAAUUGUCCCAAAUUUUUUUCUGUAAUGUUGUCCUUUUACUGUAGAUCAUUUUACUUUUAACAUAGUUGAGAUAACUGUUGUCGUUUUAGAGAUAAUGCACUUUGAAAUUUUGCGAGCGGCGGCAUGUAUUUCUGAAUCAACAACAGGUAACCACCUGAUAUUUUCACAAAUUGAAGAGUUUAACAUGGUUAUAUGUUUGACAAAAUACCAAAAACAUUCAAUGAAAAAAAAACCCAAAAAAUCAAUUUGAAGUUUUCAUGUUUUGCAUUUACUUUGUAAGUUUCAUAAGUUCUAUUUAUAUAAUUGAUAUUGCAUCAUUUUUGGCACUUUGCCAAAUGGGGUCAUUUGAUAUAUCAAAUUGAAGGUCUUAACGAGCUCUACUCAAAAAUGAAAAUGUUAAACCCCUUUUUCAUCCCAGGGGGAAGGGUGGGGUCAUUUAGUGCAAAAAAUUCAAACUUCUCAGAUGGUUAGGUUGUCGCAUAUCAAAUGAAAGUCCAUAAAGCGUACAUUUCAAAUAUCAAAUUGACGUCCCCAAAAAAUGGGUUGGGUGGGGUCAUUGAGUGCAAAAAAUAAAAUUUUCUUUUAAGGCAAGUUUGUUGUAUUUCAAAUGAAAUGUCGUAACAUGUACAUUUCAAAUAUCAGAUUCCUGUCCUCAAAAAAUGAGUUGGAUGGGGUUAUUUAGUGCAAAAAUCAAACUUUCUAGAACAUGGCGUUGUCGCAUAUCAAAUGAAAGAUCAUAAAGUCUAAAUUACAUAUAUCAUACUUCCGAUCUCGAAAAUUAAGGCGGAUGGGGUCAUUAAGUGUAAAAAGCGAAAAGUUUCAGAAGGAAUGCUUGUCGUAUAUCAAAUGAAAGGUCGUACAAAGUACAUUACGAAAACAUCACUUUAACAGGAAAGACCUUUCAAUUGUUUUACAAACAAUUGAGAUACUAGUUUUUAAGGUCUUUCCACUCCGUUAGGAAAGACCUUAUUGUUUUUCUAAUGUUUUUUUUUUUUUCUUUUUUUAAGGUCUUUCCACUCCAUUAGGAAAGACCUUAUUGUUUUUCUAAUGUUUUUUUUUUUUCUUUUUUUUUUUUUUUUUUCUUUUUCUUUUUUUUUUUUUUUUUUUUUUCUUUUUUUUCUUCCAACAUUUUUUUGGGAAUGCCCUCCCACCGUUUCUGUUGAAGUUAUCAAGACCAAAUAUGGACGAUCGAUAGACCUCAUCUUGAAGUAUUACCACAUGACCCUGUUAAGGAUUUCAUCAUCCCCUGUAGAAGUUAUCUCCCUUUUAUUGGAUUUUUUCGACAUAGUUCCCCCUCGUUGUUUUUAAAGAUAUCAUGACCUUAUUUGGACAAUAGGUAGAUCUCAUCAUGAUGUACUACCAUAUGAGGCUGCAUAGGAUUUCAUCAUCCCCUAUGCGAGUUAUAUCCCCUUGAAACAAUUUCUUUCUUUUGCAUUUUUCUCAAAAAGUAUUAGGGAUAGAAUCGAUUUGAAAACAGCAACAUGUACAAGAACAAAUGGCAAUGUUAAUGAACAUAUAAAAUAAUUUUGUUAUUGACCCUUAUAAGGAGUUAUUUCUCUUGAAAAAAUAUACACAAUUUUUGAAAAAUUGUAUUUCGAGAACCGGAAGUAGUAGAGACUUGAGACCUACACCAAUAAUCUUAAGUUUAUGUGACCUUCAAUUUGCACCCAAGGUCAAAGGUCACCGAGUGCAAAAAAAAAUUACGCUGCAAUUUUAAGCUUGCAUAUUAAGAAAACGAUAAGAGUUUGCUGCAUACAUACUGUGUAUAAAAUGUUCCUCUCGACGAGCUGUACAUUUUAUACAUUAAGCUCAAAAAUGUCCGACCUUCUGUUCAAAAGUUACACUAACAUAAUUCUUAAAACUAUAGUAACAUAUGUAUAUCUUUUUAAAGGUAACAGAUAUCAACCUUCUAUAAACUGGAAAGAUGAUCAGUAAUUCAAGACCUUCAAUUUGAGGUCAAUGUCAGGUCAUGAUGAAAUUUUACCUUGACCUUCAAAGUGUACUAUGACCGUGACCUCGUGACAUUUGAAAGGUCAAGUAGUCCUGAGUUGAAUGGUGGUAGUCUUAUGUCUCUACGACUUCCGGUUCUCAAGUUUGGUAUUGCAUCAUAUAUUUGAUGAUUCCUUGUGACCUUGAUGAACUUUCGAAUUGUCCAAAUUUUUUCUGCAAUGUUGCCCUUUAACUGCAGAUCAUUUAUCAUUUAACAAAUUUGAGAUAUCUGUUGUCGUUUAAGAGAUAAUGCAGUUUAAAAUUUUGCGAGCGGAGGCAUGUACUUCUGAAUCAACAACAGUUUACCACCUGAAAUUUUCAGAAAUAAAAGAAUUCAACAUUGUUAUAAUUUUGACAAAAUACUAAAAACAUUCAAUGAAAAAAAAACAACCAAAAAA